rnacentral:rRNA from 1 species
UUAAAAUAAUUUUAAUAAAUUUUUAAAAAUAAAUUUAUGUAUAAUUAAAAUAAUAUUUUUUUAUUAGAAUUUUUAGUAUAAUUUUAGAAAAAAUUUUUUUAUUGAUAAUGAAUUAUGUAUUGAAAAAGAAAAAUGAAAUAUUUUAAAAAAUUUAAAAAUUAAGUAAAUUUUAUUUAUUGUAUUUUGUGUAUCAAAGUUUAUUUAAAAAAUUUUAUAAAUUUUAAAUAUUUAGAAAUUUAAUGAUUUAAUUUAUUAAUAUAUUUAUUAUAGUAAAAAUAUUAUAAAUAUUAGAUUAGAAAUGAAAUGUUAAUCGAAUUAAAUAAUAUUUAAUUUUUUAAGAAAUAAAUUUAAUUUAAUUUAUUUAAUUAGAUAAUUUAUAAUUUUGUAUUGAAAUUUAUUAAGUAAUAAAUUUUUAAGGGAUAAGCUUUAAAAAUUAAUUUUAUAUUAUUUAAAAUUAAAUUAAAAAUUUUAUGAAAAUAAUAUUAUUUAUUAAAAUAAAUUUUUUUAUAAAAAAAUUUUUAUUUUUUAUGUUUUAAAAUUUUUAAAAUUAAGAAAAUUUUAUUGAAAUAAAUUUAUGUAUAAUAAAUAAAUUGAAAAAAUAAUAAAAUUAGUAUAUAAAUAAAAUAAUUUAAAAAUUUUUAUUGAAGAUUUAUAAUUUAUAUGAAUUCGACAAAUUUUAAUUUCGCUUGUUUAUCAAAAACAUGUCUUUUUGAGUAAUAAUUUAAAGUUUAACCUGCCCCCUGAAUUUAAUUUUUAAAGGGCCGCAGUUAAAUUGUGCAAAGGUAGCAUAGUCAUUAGUUUUUUGAAUGGAAACUAGAAUGAAUGGUUGGACGAAAAUUAAAUUUUAUUUAAAUUAUUUUAAUAAAAUUUAAUUUUUUAGUUAAAAAGCUAAAAUUUUUAAAAAAGACGAGAAGACCCUAUAGAUUUUUAUAAAUAAAUUUUUAUAUUAAUUUUAUUGAAAUUUAUUUAUUUUGUUGGGGUGAUAUAAAAAUUUAUUUAACUUUUUAAAAUGAUUAAAAUCAAAAAUUUUUGUUUAUUUGAAAUAUCUAUAAAUUAUAAAAUUAAAUUAAAAUACCUUAGGGAUAACAGCGUAAUUUUAAUUUUUAGAUCUUAUUGAAAUUAAAGAUUGCGACCUCGAUGUUGAAUUAAAAUUUAAAUUAAAUGUAGCCGUUUAAUUUUUAAGUCUGUUCGACUUUUAAAAUUUUACAUGAUUUGAGUUCAAACCGGUGUGAGCCAGGUUGGUUUCUAUCUUUUUUUAUAAAAAAUAAUUUAGUACGAAAGGAUUGAUUAUUUGAAAAAAUUUUUUUUUAUGAAUAAAAUUAAAAUUUAAUUA